GAUGAACGCUGGCGGCGUGCCUAAUACAUGCAAGUCGAGCGAACAGACGAGGAGCUUGCUCCUCUGACGUUAGCGGCGGACGGGUGAGUAACACGUGGAUAACCUACCUAUAAGACUGGGAUAACUUCGGGAAACCGGAGCUAAUACCGGAUAAUUUAUUGAACCGCAUGGUUCAAUAGUGAAAGACGGUUUUGCUGUCACUUAUAGAUGGAUCCGCGCCGCAUUAGCUAGUUGGUAAGGUAACGGCUUACCAAGGCAACGAUGCGUAGCCGACCUGAGAGGGUGAUCGGCCACACUGGAACUGAGACACGGUCCAGACUCCUACGGGAGGCAGCAGUAGGGAAUCUUCCGCAAUGGGCGAAAGCCUGGCGGAGCAACGCCGCGUGAGUGAUGAAGGUCUUCGGAUCGUAAAACUCUGUUAUUAGGGAAGAACAAAUGUGUAAGUAACUAUGCACGUCUUGACGGUACCUAAUCAGAAAGCCACGGCUAACUACGUG
rnacentral:rRNA from 1 species